rnacentral:rRNA from 1 species
UACAGAGGUCUCAAGCGUUGUUCGGAUUCAUUGGGCGUAAAGGGUGCGUAGGCGGCGCGGUAAGUCGGGGUGUGAAAUUUCGAGGCUUAACUUCGAAACUGCAUUCGAUACUGCCGUGCUAGAGGACUGGAGAGGAGACUGGAAUUUACGGUGUAGCGGUGAAAUGCGUAGAUAUCGUAAGGAAGACCAGUGGCGAAGGCGGGUCUCUGGACAGUUCCUGACGCUGAGGCACGAAGGCCAGGGGGAGCAAACGGG